AUUGAACGCUGGCGGCAGGCCUAACACAUGCAAGUCGAGUGGGGUUUUCGGACCUAGCGGCGGACGGGUGAGUAAUGCGUAGGAAGCUGCCCGAUAGAGGGGGGAUACCAGUUGGAAACGACUGUUAAUACCGCAUAAUGUCUACGGACCAAAGUGUGGGACCUUCGGGCCACAUGCUAUCGGAUGCGCCUACGUGGGAU
rnacentral:rRNA from 1 species